rnacentral:rRNA from 1 species
GGCCGCGGGAAUUCGAUUCAGGCCUAACACAUGCAAGUCGAACGCUGAAACCAGAUGCUUGCAUUUGGUGGAUGAGUGGCGAACGGGUGAGUAACACGUGGGUGAUCUGCCCUGCACUUUGGGAUAAGCCUGGGAAACUGGGUCUAAUACCGAAUAUUCACACCACCGUAGGGGUGGUGUGGAAAGCUUUAUGCGGUGUGGGAUGAGCCUGCGGCCUAUCAGCUUGUUGGUGGGGUAAUGGCCUACCAAGGCGUCGACGGGUAGCCGGCCUGAGAGGGUGUACGGCCACAUUGGGACUGAGACACGGCCCAGACUCCUACGGGAGGCAGCAGUGGGGAAUAUUGCACAAUGUAAAGAAGCCUGAUGCAGCGACGCCGCGUGGGGGAUGAUUCAAUGGGGGUUGUAAACUCCUUUCGCUAGGGACGAAG